rnacentral:rRNA from 1 species
GACGAACGCUGGCGGCGUGCCUAACACAUGCAAGUCGAACGAGGUCCAAGGAAGCUUGCUUCCUGAAGACCUAGUGGCGAACGGGUGAGUAACACGUGAGAAACCUGCCUCGGAGUGGGGAAUAACUCGGGGAAACUCGAGCUAAUACCGCAUACCUUCACAUGAUCGCAUGGUCGAGUGAAGAAAGAAUUUCGCUCUGAGAGGGUCUCGCGGCCUAUCAGCUUGUUGGUGGGGUAACGGCCUACCAAGGCAACGACGGGUAGCUGGUUUGAGAGAACGAUCAGCCACACUGGGACUGAGACACGGCCCAGACUCCUACGGGAGGCAGCAGUGGGGAAUCUUGCGCAAUGGGCGAAAGCCUGACGCAGCAACGCCGCGUGCGGGAUGACGGCCUUCGUGGUUGUAAACCGCUUCAGCAGGGACGAAAUGACGGUACCUGCAGAAGAAGCCCCGGCUAACUACGUGCCAGCAGCCGCGGUAA